rnacentral:lncRNA from 1 species
UUCAGCAAGCUGUUUUUUUAGGUAACCACUUGCAUUUCGAAGGUGAAAUUUGGCAGGUAGCACUAUCUCCAGCUAGACUGCCUAUAAAUCGGCUUUUUGAGGUGUGCAAAAUUUCGUUGCAGUUGGCCUUU